GGCUUGGAUGUAGUCUUGUUUCUGGUCAAAGGGAGCACGAGAUGGUAGCUGAUUGGUGGAGAGGAGCUGCUGCCUGAUUGGUUAUGCUAAGGCUCCCAUGAACCUUUACUCACAUAUGUGUCUAGAUUCAUGGUCCAACUUGCUUUCCCUUUACAUCUCAUGACAGGCUGUCCUUGGACCACGCCCUCUCUCCUUUCCCUUGCUUUCCAACAGUCACAAAGAAGAUAAGGUCGUCUGAUUGCUCUUGGAAACCAACGCCCUAAGUUUGCACAGCUUCUGGUGAGUUUCCCGGAUGUGUGGUCGAGAGGUGUGGUCGUACGGUCGAUGGUACGGAUCUCCUGUCCGUACCACUCGCCCUAUUUAUGCCCAAUACUCUUCCUCCUUCUUCUGAUCAGUCUAAGUCCCUCCUGGACUUAUCUUCACAAGAUAACUACUUCAGAACACUUCUGAAGCUUGAUUGAACUCUUCUGGACAUCUUCUAGAGCUUGCCCUAUCAUUGUACAAGCUCCAUCUUCUCUUCAGUUCAACACGCCCCCUCAAGCUUGACUUUAGGAGAUCCUAAGCCAAGCUUGGAACUCUGAAGAGUCUCCCUCAUUAAAAACCUUACAAGGAAAACCCAUUGGGACAAAACCUUGUAAGGGAAAAAGAGUAGAGCUCUCCAAAGCCUAGGGAUUGGCCAGUGAACUCUUGUGCCUUAGAACCAGUGUGGUUGGACACAAGAAGCUCUGGAUCACGGCCUAACAGGUGCAGCAACUCUUCACAGCUUUGCGCACACUUCACACUUCAGCUUCACCUCUUCAUGGAACCGGUUUGAAGUCUCCCCCUCUCAACUGACUUCACAGCCAUCUUAGAGAAGCUAGGACACGACCAGAUCAUCUUCAAAACACUAGUGAGGCUGAUCAACACUUCACACACGGCUUGCCCUCUUCAUAGAACUGGUUUGGAUCUCCCCCUCUCAACAGACUUCUCAGCCAUCUUAGAGAAGCUAGGAACUGACCAGGAACAUCUUUAGUGAGGCUCAAGCAAUGGUACCUGAUACAUUAUCCCAAAGGUGCAUCAGUACCUAUCAAAAACAAGAAAAUGAAUAUCCUGCAUCACACUUGAUGCACACAAUCUCACAAUUCAAUCAUAAUCAUCUUAAGUAUCUUUUCAAGCACAAGCAAUGAAUAAGAUGAAUGAAAUAGAUUGAAAAGAGUUUUAAAAGUCUAAGGGAACUUCCCUUGUGUUUUUGUGAGUUUCCAAACUCUCUCAAUGCACCAUCUUCAUGGCAUCAUCAACUUCUUGGAAAGGCAGAAUGGAUUCAUCAGCUUCUCCUCAAUCACCUCUCAUUGAAGCCGCAUUGAUGGAGAGCCUUCCUCUUCACUCGCCAAGGCUGCUCUGAACAGCCUCUUGCCUAGACACGCCACUGACUUGGUCCGGUUGAUGAUCCUUGUAGAAGCUUUUGCAAAAGACUUGUUACUGACCAUGGAUCAUAUGCAUUAAGACUCCCCCUCAAGCUUAGAACCGAAACUAGAAGGAGCUAAGCUUGUGAUGAUCCUAUGCAUCUCCAUGGUCUAAUAACUAUCAUCUUUCAUGAUAGCUUUCUUCUUGUGAGUUUACUCUCUUCCUUAACCAGGAACUAGGGUGUUUGAAUCACCAUAGAGAGUCUCACAAAACACACUUCUCAUUGCAUAAUGACCCAUGCUACACUUCCUGUAGUCUUUGGACUGGAUAUGUCCAAUGGUAUUAUGCAAUGGCCAUCUCUCAUGCAUUAUCAAUCACACUACACUUCCUGUAGAUUAUGGACUAACAUGUCCUAGUGAUGAUAUGCAAUGGCACAAGACCUUUGUCACUACAUUCUUAGCUGUUGGCGAGUUACAUGUAUCACUUUCCUUGUGUACCUAACACCACCACAACUCAAUGCAAGAUCAGAUCAUCCCAUUGGGAUCAAACCAAGAUAAUUUAUCCUGUUUGAUCACCAAUGCCACAGCAGAAUAUAAACCUUGAAACAAGCCAAUCAAUCAAGGCAGAACAAGCAGGUUUCAAUCUCUAAAAUGACAAUGCAAGAUUUAAACAAUACAUUGACAAUUUAGGCUUAUUUUUAAAUGCAUCAAUACAUGAAUGCACAAUCCUAAAGCAUUAACUAUAUGAAUGCAACAGGUUCAAUCCAUGAGACAUAUUAAUCAAGACCAAUGAGGCAAGCAACUUAGACAAUUUCUAAGGGUUAGGAGGUUUGCUUACAAACAAGAGAUCCGAGCUGAUCUCUUGAACCUCCAUGGGCACGGUUCACUUGAACUUGGCAGGUUUGAGGCUUGGAUUCAAUAUCCAACACCUCUCCUUGGUGUGCCCAUCCCUCUUGCAAUGUUCACACCGAUUGUUCCUAUUGGACGUGGGAACACACUUCUUCAAGUGUUGGGAGCUUCUCAGACCUCAAGAUAUGUUGAAUCAAGGCGCUGUAGGCAGGGCUAAGGGCGAGUAAUAGGCAAAACACCUUGUCUUGCUCCCUUCUUUCAAUCAACACCUCCGGAUCAACAGAUUGGGGUCUAAGCAUCUCUAGCUCAGACCAAAGGGCUCUGAACUUGCCUAGAUGCACAGUGAACUCCUCAUCUUCUUGGGAUAGGAUGUUGAUGAACUUCUUGAUCUCAAAUACUCGACAGAGGUUGGAGAUGUACCCAUAUAUCUUGUUAAGUGUACUCCAAAGGUCUUUAGCACUCUCACAGUAUGAGUAUGCUUCAAGGAUGGAUGGAGACAUUGAGCUAUGGAGAAUGGAUAAGACCUUGAGGUCUUCUUGUUCCCACUUCUCCUCAGAUACGGAUUUGGAACCGGAUUCACCAUCUGCUGAGCUUUCAUUUGAACCGGCAGCCUUGGAGAGCUUUGGAGCAUCCGUGAGGCAAUGGCUCCAUAAGCCUCUCCCUCCUAGAGCUGUCUUUACCAUGCGUGACCAGAUGGUCUUGGUUUAAAUUGCCUCACCCUCCUGGUGAUGCUCUUCUUUGUAUGUCAACUGUCCUCUCUACACUCAUCUGAUGUGUAGGCUAUGGUGACUGAACCACCAUGGACAGAACAACAAGUCAUCUCUCCAUUGUCACAACAUCCUCUCUACCCUCUUUGGAGCAGGCUGUGGACUUCCCACAGAAUGUUGGCAACAGGCUUCAUUUUAUCAUUCUAUUGUAAUGAUAAGGAGGAAACAGGUCUUGAACUUUAGCUCUUCAGGUUGCUCAUUUGAAUAUUUAGCACCGCAAGCUUGAGACCGAGAAUAGGUGAGAUCCAAGCUUGAAAUGAGCCUCAAUGAACUUCAAGACCAGGAGCACAUCACCCUAACAGCUGCGCUUAAAUCACUGAUCCACCCUUUUGCCUUUAGCUUCAAGUACCCUCAGAUCACCGGCCUUCCUCAUGGCUUAGGUGGUGACCUUCUUCUUCUUGUGUGUCUUGAACCAGGAGCUCAACAACCUCGUGGCCUGCGCUUCUUAAACCGGCUUCUACACACAAGAACCUUCCCAUUGCUCCACACAAUGGUUGGUCUUCCGCUUGUAUGUCUUGAACCAGGAGCUCAACAACCUCGUGGCCUGCGCUUCUUAAACCGGCUUCUACACACAAGAACCUUCCCAUUGCUCCACACAAUGGUUGGUCUUCCGCUUGUAUGUCUUGAACCAGGAGCUCAACAACCUCGUGGCCUGCGCUUCUUAAACCAGCUUCUACACACAAGUAUCUUCCCAUUGCUCCACACAAUGGUUCAAGUCUUCCUCUUGUCUUGGAUAGGAGGUGAGCAGAGAACACUUCUUGUGAACCUGAAACACCACUCAAACUCCAGCAAGGAUAAGACACAAGAGUAUUGGGAUCAAUCCUUGAUUAAUCAUCAAGUUUGAUUCCCAAUCUCACAAGCAUUGCAACGAAUUAAAACAAGUCAUUUUCAAGUUCUAUCUUUGCAAGCAAUCUCUCUAAGCACAAGCAUUUUCUUUUUCAGUUUAUGCAAGCUACUUAGGCAUUUUAAAGCUUCUUUACUCAGCAUUUAGACAUGAAUCUAAUGCUUCAAUGUAAGACAGCCACAAGACUAUAUGCAACAGCUUUCAAUUCGGUUUCAAUCCAUGUAUGCAAGCAGAUUCAAUCAAUCACAACAAGCAUCAUUAUGAACCGGAGAUAAGCAUAUUAACAUACCUAGUAAUCCUAGUAAUACUGUUAAAUUACUAGUCCUUUUAAAGCGCUUACACAACUGCUAGUAAACUUAGUAUAACUAGUACACUUAAAGGAUUACUAGGGAACCAAGCUCUUUAAGCAUCCUGGGACAGAUUCUAAAUUCAUUUUAUUUCAUUUAGUAAUCUUUUAAACAGUCCUCAGGUUUUCAAUCACAUCACAACAUCACAACCAGUCAACAACACAAGCUCAUUAUCAAGAUGGUUUAUAGAAUUGCUUACAACAAGGAACCAGGUUGAUUCCUUUUGCAUUUUGUGAAACCGGCCAUGACUGUUGUUGGAACUGAGAGUCUAGAUCAUCACCCACCUCCUUCUCCUUCAGUUCAUGGCCACCAUCUUGUACCAUCAACUCAAAAGACCCCUCCUUUCUUCAGAACAUCUAGGCGCCAAGCUCUUGGCACCAUACUCUUUUAGCCUGAUGUGGAACUUCUCUUGGACAAGGAGCUUUGGAGUCAGGUUAGUUAGGCCUCUCCAUACACCUUUGCCUCCAAGGAUAAUCUCCAUCUGAGCAGGUAGAGAACAGGAUGAGGAACCAAGGGAACUCGCCAAGCUUCAGCCUUCUUCUUCAUAAGGGACUGAACUGGAUGGGAAAGCAUCAAUGGUUUGGUUUUGAGCUGAGGCGUGAGCUGUGGACUUGCGGAAGCUUCAGCUCAGGUUCUGAUGAACCUGGCUCUGAUACCAUAUGAGAUUUGUAGAGUUCUCUUCUCUUGUUGUAUGUGUGCGUGAAUACUCCAAUGGAGAAAGAUGAGAGCUUGUUCUAGGUGAUUUAUGAAGAGAGAUUGAUGAGAGUGUUUAUGAGAGAAUAAGAGACUUAGGAACAAAGAUUAAGAGACUGAGAGAUUAGGAGAAUAAGAGAUUAGAGAUUAGGGUUUGAGAUUCAAGAACAAGUUUAUCAUUUAUGAAGUGGAGAGGGGAAAUCCCCCUUACUCCCUUAGGAGUUACAAAACGUUCACAACAAUGCCUUAUAUAGGCUUUUACACUUUGCAAUCAUAAACCCUUAAUCUAAUGGAUAGAAAUGACUUGAGAAAUGGAUGGCUUGGAUGUAGUCUUGUUUCUGGUCAAAGGGAGCACGAGAUGGUAGCUGAUUGGUGGAGAGGAGCUGCUGCCUGAUUGGUUAUGCUAAGGCUCCCAUGAACCUUUACUCACAUAUGUGUCUAGAUUCAUGGUCCAACUUGCUUUCCCUUUACAUCUCAUGACAGGCUGUCCUUGGACCACGCCCUCUCUCCUUUCCCUUGCUUUCCAACAGUCACAAAGAAGAUAAGGUCGUCUGAUUGCUCUUGGAAACCAACGCCCUAAGUUUGCACAGCUUCUGGUGAGUUUCCCGGAUGUGUGGUCGAGAGGUGUGGUCGUACGGUCGAUGGUACGGAUCUCCUGUCCGUACCACUCGCCCUAUUUAUGCCCAAUACUCUUCCUCCUUCUUCUGAUCAGUCUAAGUCCCUCCUGGACUUAUCUUCACAAGAUAACUACUUCAGAACACUUCUGAAGCUUGAUUGAACUCUUCUGGACAUCUUCUAGAGCUUGCCCUAUCAUUGUACAAGCUCCAUCUUCUCUUCAGUUCAACACCGAGACACUCUC
rnacentral:lncRNA from 1 species